rnacentral:rRNA from 1 species
CGAGCGCAGGAAGCUCACGGAACUCUUCGGAGGGAAGUGAAGGGAAUGAGCGGCGGACGGGUGAGUAACACGUAAGGAACCUGCCCCAAGGAUUGGGAUAACUCCGAGAAAUCGGAGCUAAUACCGAAUAGUUCUUCAGACCGCAUGGUCUGAUGAUGAAAGGCGCUUCGGCGUCACCUUGGGAUGGCCUUGCGGUGCAUUAGCUAGUUGGUGGGGUAAUGGCCCACCAAGGCGACGAUGCAUAGCCGACCUGAGAGGGUGAUCGGCCACACUGGGACUGAGACACGGCCCAGACUCCUACGGGAGGCAGCAGUAGGGAAUCUUCCACAAUGGACGAAAGUCUGAUGGAGCAACGCCGCGUGAGUGAUGAAGGUUUUCGGAUCGUAAAACUCUGUUGUAAGGGAAGAACAAGUACGAGAGGUAAUGCUCGUACCUUGACGGUACCUUGCGAGAAAGCCACGGCUAACUACGUGCCAGCAGCCGCGGUAAUACGUAGGUGGCAAGCGUUGUCCGGAAUUAUUGGGCGUAAAGCGCGCGCAGGCGGCCUUUUAAGUCUGAUGUGAAAGCCCCCGGCUCAACCGGGGAGGGUCAUUGGAAACUGGAAGGCUUGAGUACAGAAGAGAAGAGUGGAAUUCCAUGUGUAGCGGUGAAAUGCGUAGAGAUGUGGAGGAACACCAGUGGCGAAGGCGACUCUUUGGUCUGUAACUGACGCUGAGGCGCGAAAGCGUGGGGAGCAAACAGGAUUAGAUACCCUGGUAGUCCACGCCGUAAACGAUGAGUGCUAGGUGUUGG